rnacentral:lncRNA from 1 species
UGUUAGGAAAUAUGCGGUCAAAUUUUGCGGAAAACCAGAAUUUGCGGAAUUUAUGGGAGCGGGAAAACACACACAAAAUUGUUAACGGAGUUCGGCCAACUUUUGCCUACGUCUCCGGACCUGCUACAGAUCUUUUAUUAUCAACCCGGGAAAUUUUUACAAGCUCUCAACUCACACCCGACCCCAAAUACACUCAAGAAAUUACACUUAAUUUCUU